AAGUGCCCCGCCUGGGGAGUACGGCCGCAAGGCUAAAACUCAAAGGAAUUGACGGGGGCCCGCACAAGCGGCGGAGCAUGCGGAUUAAUUCGAUGCAACGCGAAGAACCUUACCAAGGCUUGACAUGAACCGGAAAGACCUGGAAACAGGUGCCCCGCUUGCGGUCGGUUUACAGGUGGUGCAUGGUUGUCGUCAGCUCGUGUCGUGAGAUGUUGGGUUAAGUCCCGCAACGAGCGCAACCCUCGUUCUAUGUUGCCAGCACGUGAUGGUGGGGACUCAUAGGAGACUGCCGGGGUCAACUCGGAGGAAGGUGGGGACGACGUCAAAUCAUCAUGCCCCUUAUGUCUUGGGCUUCACGCAUGCUACAAUGGCCGGUACAAAGGGUUGCGAUACUGUGAGGUGGAGCUAAUCCCAAAAAGCCGGUCUCAGUUCGGAUUGGGGUCUGCAACUCGACCCCAUGAAGUCGGAGUCGCUAGUAAUCGCAGAUCAGCAACGCUGCGGUGAAUACGUUCCCGGGCCUUG
rnacentral:rRNA from 1 species